GGAAAAGUGGGUUUCUGCCUGGGGAAGAUCUGGAUUAAAAGAGCAAAGGACUAAAGAGAUGGCAUUACCAUGGUCCAUGUAUGCCACAAAGAGUCCCUUGUGGACAGAAAGGAAGCAGUGAGCAGGAGAAACAGCUACACAAAAAACCGUCAGGAUUUUGUGAGUGUUCGGUUAUACACGGUGAAGAAGGAAGAUGGUUUUAGGGACGGGACAUCAAACAUUCCAGCAGACAGCUGAACACCCAUCACUGGCACUCAAGUGAAAAUUCUGCCCAGGAGUUAAAGAUUUUUCAAUCAAACCCUAAGAGUUUAAGAUGUGCAAAGAAAACAAUUCCUUUGAAGGCAAAAGCAUGAGGAGAGAAGAGCAGAGAGACUAUGCUUUGAAAAAUAUUUACAGCUUAUAGAAGAAUGAAGGGGGGCUUGUGUCCCCCAUGAAGAAGGCAGAAGGCCAGCCGGUGAGAAAUUUCGGAAGAUCAGGAAGCUGUCGUGAGUAGUCCAUGUUGUAUGGGCACUGGACACUGUAUGAUAAUAGGACUUGGACUAUUGUUACUGUUAUUGUAGACAGGCUGAUUGGGAAGGCAGGUCCUUUAUCCUCACCUCUUUGUCCCUCUCUAAAGCUCUCCAACGAGACCAGAAGCAUGGUCAAGCAGGCAUGUGGUCAAGCAUUUGCACCCGAGAAAGUGCUCUCCGUCUCCGGGGGAAGGGGUGAGAUGAAGGGGAGGGUGACCAGGAAGAGGCCAAGUUUGCAAGCAACCCCAUAUCCGACCUUACACAGCUCCUACAGCCCCAGAAGCAUACAGUCCUCUCUGAGAUGCACCACUAAUCUGCACCCUUGCAGAGUGCGAGGAACAAGACAGCUUUCCUUUGUCUUCCUUACAUUUUGUGGAAAAACGGAGUCCUGAGGAGGCUCAUUGUGCUGUGAAAGAUGACUACAUCUGUUAGCA
rnacentral:lncRNA from 1 species